ACAGCAGCGCGCCGACGGCGAGGAGUAGCGUCGCGGGCGCCCGCGCGGCUCGGGGACACAUAGCUGUGGCGCGUGAACUGGGUGCGAAAGCGGGCGAGCGGGGCGAGUGCCGGCGAGUAGGGGUGUUUAAUGUGUGUUUUUGGUCUUCUCUCCAAGUGAUGGAAACAGAGUUGCUGCUUCAGUGGUAGUAGUACUUGGAAUUCAAGUAACACUAACCUAAAAUCUACUGUAGACCCAUUGGGCGAUAGUAUGAAAGAACCAAGAAGGAUUUCGGCUGUCCUGGAGCUGAUAAUGCUGCAAACAAGAGAAGAGGACACACUUCUCUUCUCCCCAACAGCUCAGAAUUGGAGCAAAGCUCCAGGAUCAUUGGCAGCAGAGGGAAGAUAAGGAGGAGGAUAUGAAAGUGACCCCCUAUGGGGGUCUUACACUGAGGUCCUUGUGCGACCUGCCUCCAAUCUGCAUUGCUCCAGAUGCUCCCCAGGCCACACCAAACUGCCGCGGAGAGAAGAACACAGACAGGGAUGUAUCGAUUUCAUGUUAUGGCUGAGUUUUAGCCAGAAUGUCUGAGAAAAAGUUACAGAAAUUAAACUGUUUUUAUACCAGUAA